AAAGCCCCGAGGGCGACGCCUCCCCCCGGAACACGGUGUCAGCGGUGCCCGGGUGGCAGCGAUGUCCCCUCCGCGCUGGGGAUGCGGGGACGUGGGGGGGGGGAUGCGGAGGUGGGCGCUGGGGCGCAGAGGUGGCAGUGCUGGACCUUGGGCGCGGGGGCAUGGAUGUAGGGGUCCCUUCUGUGCCCAGAAAAUGACACCAAAAUCCUCUUGGUUUUGGGGACGAAGACGUGGGGACGUGGACACUGGGUCCCUUGGCCAUGGGGUCAUGGUCAUGGGGGACAUGGACAUUGGGGUCCCUUCUGUCCCCCCUAGGUGACACCGAGGUCCUCUUGGCCCUGGGGACAAGGACACUGGGUCCCUUGGCCAUGGGGGUCCCAUCUGUCCCCAGAAAGUGACACCAAAAUCCCCUUGGUGUUGGGGAGAAGGACAUGGGGACAUGGGUGCUGGGUCCUCUUGGCCAUGGGGUCAUGGUCGUGGGGGACAUGGACAUUGGGGUCCCUUCUGUCCCCAUAGGUGACACCGAGGUCCCUGUGGCACUGGGGACAUGGACACUGGGUCCCUCAGCCAUGGGGUCAUGGACAUGGGGGUCCCUUCUGUCCCCCAAAAGUGACACCAAGGUCCCCAUGGCGUUGGGGACAUGGACACUGGGUCCCUCAGCCAUGAGGUCAUGGACAUGGGGGAUAUGGACAUGGGGGAUAUGGACAUGGGGGUCCCUUCUGUCCCCAAAAGUGACACCAAAAUCCGCUUGGUGUUGGGGACAAGGACAUGAGGACGUGGACACUGGGUCCUCUUGGCCAUGGGGUUCAUGGAUGUGGGGGGUCCCUUCUGUCCCCCAAAGGUGACACCAAAAUCCCCUUGGGAUUGGGGACAAGGACACUGGGUCCCUCGGCAAUGGGGGUCCCAUAUGUGCCCAAAAAGUGACACCAAAAUCCCCUUGGUGUUGGGGACGAGGACAUGGGGACAUGGACGCUGGGUCCUCUUGGCCAUGGGGUCAUGGUCGUGGGACACAUGGACACGGGGGUCCCUUCUGUCCCCAUAGGUGACACCGAGGUCCCCAUGGCAUUGGGGACAAGGACACUGGGUCCCUUGACAACGGGGGUCCCGUCUGAUGGGGACCUGAUCUGGGCCAAAUAAAAGGGAACUUGAGACAGCA
rnacentral:lncRNA from 1 species